CCAGACUCCUACGGGAGGCAGCAGUGAGGAAUAUUGGUCAAUGGGCGGGAGCCUGAACCAGCCAAGUCGCGUGAGGGAAGACGGUCCUAUGGAUUGUAAACCUCUUUUGUCGGGGAGCAAAAGACGCCACGCGUGGCGUUCCGAGAGUACCCGAAGAAAAAGCAUCGGCUAACUCCGUGCCUGCAGCCGCGGUAAUACGGAGGAUGCGAGCGUUAUCCGGAUUUAUUGGGUUUAAAGGGUGCGCAGGCGGAGGCACAAGUCAGGGGUAAAAUCGCGGGGCUCACCCCCGCUCCGCCGUUGAAACUGGCAGUCUCGAGUUGGAGAGAAGUAUGCGGAAUGCGCGGUGUAGCGGUGAAAUGCAUAGAUAUCGCGCAGAACUCCGAUUGCGAAGGCAGCAUGCCGGCUCCACACUGACGCUGAGGCACGAAAGCGUGGGUAUCGAACAGGAUUAGAUACCCGCGUACG
rnacentral:rRNA from 1 species